GUUGAAUAUGCGGUGCGGUGGUAGCAACCGUCCCGACGUAAAGUCGAUUGUUACACCGCGCCGCAAAAGUUGAC
rfam:Branchiostoma floridae genomic scaffold BRAFLscaffold_39, whole genome shotgun sequence.